UGUAAGCGUAUACCAAAGUUGUUGCAGUUAAAACGCUCGUAGUCGGAAUUUGGCAGUUCCGGAUGUGUGCACGUCGUGUGCGCACUUCGCGGGGAUUGCUUUUGUGGUCUUGCGUAGGAUGAGGCACUUUUAUUAGUGAACGUCCUCACGCAACCACUUUUUACUGUGAGAAAAUCAGAGUGCUCAAAGCAGGCAUUUGCCUUGAAUGUAUUAGCAUGGAAUAAUAGAAUAGGACUUGGUUCUAUUUUGUUGGUUUGUUGGGACUGAGUAAUGAUUAAGAGGGACAGUUGGGGGCAUUUGUAUUUCGGUGCUAGAGGUGAAAUUCUUAGAUUACCGAAAGACAAACUGCUGCGAAAGCGUCUGCCAAGGAUGUUUUCAUUGA
rnacentral:rRNA from 1 species